CAGCCACCCCCAUCACUGCACGCGGAUGCAAGUACUCCAAUAAUAAAUUCAUUUUUAAAGUUUUUAUAUAAUAUUUGAUUAUUUAUCUUACUUAAUAUUAUUUAUUAUUACUAAAAAAAAUAAAAUAUAAAUAGUAUUCCACGUGUCCCUAUUUUUUUCAAAAUUUCUAAUAAAUUUUAUAAAUAAAACGCUAGACACACAGAAAUAAAGUUUUUUUUAAGACGGGAGAAGGAACGCAAGCAGAAGCUACUGUCAGUAGCAGCUAGAGCGUGAUGUCAUGCCAUGGCCGCGUGCUUGCAUUUGCAUCCGGCGAGGGACUGUUGGAUGAGCAGAUCGAGGGAUCUGCAACAGCUAAAGCUGCCACCAACAACAGUAGCACCAUGCAGUGCAAAGCCUGCAGCAAGCAGUACUGCGAUCGAGGAGAGUAGCCAUGGCCGGAUCGAUCUCUCUGCAGCUAGCGUAGCAGAGAAACGGAGGAAAAAGUUUACGGUAAUCAAGGCCGUCGUCGUCGUCGUCAGACGGCUACUUCGAGAUCUGCUUCUUCGAGAGUGCCUGCGAUGCUGUGAUCGUCGUGUUGCUCGUGCUAAUCAUCGCCAUCUCUAUCGCGUCGUCGUCGUCGUCGUCGCCGGCCGGCUGCCACAGAAGGCUGGUCGCAGACGCUAAUGGUGGCUGCAGGGCAAUAGGUAGGCAUAGGGCCUGUACGUAUGCGCAGCUAUUGCCAUGAAUUGGCGUUGAUGCGAUGAAUCGGUCAACAUGCACGAUAGUAAUUAGACACGGUUGUCUUCGUGCAAUAAUAACUUUAUUUUUUAUUUUUUUAUUCAACGUUUUAUCUUUUAUCUUAUUUGAAAAUUUAUAUAAAAACUUAAAAAAAUUAGUCACGUCAUUAAAAAGUAUUAAUCGUAAAAAUAAAGUACUAUUUAUAUUUUAUCAUCUAGUAAGAAUAAAAAUAUUAAUCGUAAAAAAAUUUAAAUAAGACGAAAAAUCAAAACAUGAUAUCAAAACAUUAAAAAAUAAUCUUAUUUUAGAACGGAGGUAGUACCUUUUCUCGCGGUCGGAGGCACCACAAAAUAUAGUGGUACCACUCAUUUAUUUUUAGGCUAUGUUUAGUUUUCAAAAACUUUUCCUAAAACAAUAUCACAUCAAAUUUUUAGAUACUACAUAAAUAAAACAUUAAAUAUACAUGAACAUUAAAACUAAUUACAUAGUUAUGAGAAAAAUCGUGAGAUAAAUCUUUUGAGCCUAAUUAGAACGUGAUUAGCCAUAAGUACAACAUGUGCUAAUAACGGGUUAAUUAGACUCAAAAGAUUCGUCUCGCGGUUUCCAGGCAGAAUCUGAAUUUUUUUAAUUAGACCACGUUUAAUACUUCAAAUGUGUGUCCAAAAAUUCGAUGUGAUAUUUUUUCAAAAGUUUUGCAAACUGAACAUAGCCUUAGUACUUUGAACCGAAUUUAGGUUACUAUGGAUACCUGAAUUUAGACCGAGAGGAUGCAUAUAUGCUGAAAAUUGAUAAAUUCUAAUUAAAAAAUUUUCAAGCCAGAGUGACUAGGAACCACCCAGGGUCCCUUGUUUGUGCUAUUUUAGUUGAAUUUUUUUGGGUUGAGUGUUGCCUUGAAUGUUUCAUUUGAUGUCGGAAGUUUAUUUCGGUGAUUAAUUAAAAACUAAUUAUAUAAGGUAUCAGGUAACAAUAAGAUAAAUUUUUAAGUCAAAUUAAUCUGUCACUGUGAAAGAGCAUGUAGUCUAGUGGUUGCAGUGACUUGAGUAACACCCAUGGUUUAGGUUUAAAUCUUCAUGUGAGCAUGAAUUUUAGAUUGGGUAUUUGAGGGGCUAAGUUCCCCACUUGGGCCAAGUUCCUAAAGUUUCCAAAAUAAAAAAAUGGAUACAUAUAUCUAUUUCAAAAACUAAAAAAUGAAUUUAUUUUGGAACAGAGAGAGUAAUAUAUAGGAUGAGGAGUGAAAAACGUAGUCGAACGGUUUCUCCAACACAUGAUCUAUUUUUCGACGUUAUUUAUAUAGGGAGUGAGAGACUUCAAAUUUAGUUUUUUUUCUCUCCUUACUUCAAAUAAGGAUGCAAGACUAUUUAUUAACUAGUACUACUAAAUGCUUAAGGGAAAAUGAGUAGUUGAUAUAUAUUAAUAAAAAAAUAAUAGUAUAUGAUAUGGAUGAUAUAAUAUGAAUGAUCUUUUAGAGUACAAAUAAAUAUGGAUAAGAAAUCUUUUUUUAGAUGACCAUUCAAAUAGAUAUAUGAAGGAGCAAAUUUGGAUGAUUUGUGUGCAUACACCUACACACACGUACAUAUAUGUUCCGCAAAAACAUAUAGUAUUUAUAAUAUGAAUUUAGUUCUAUUGAAAACUUUUCUAUUUGAUCUUUUGAAAUAAAGGAAUGUGACACGGUGACAAUCUUAUAAAAUUUGUGUGGAGCCAUUCAAGUCGAGUAUAUUUUAGAAGUAAAUAUUGUCUCCCUCAUAAAAUAAAUGUUUUUUUAUCCAUUUCACAUGUAUCAUUAUAUAAAAAAACUAAUUAUCCUUAUUUUUUAAUCCUAGUAUGUUUGUUACUCCGUUUCUCAAACUACAACAAACCUAUCAUCUCUCUUUUGAAACUCCAAUUCAGUGAUUAUUUUAAAUUGAAACCUUUUUAGGCACUAAUAAUCUUACAACAUCAUCAAUAGUGUUAGAUGAAAUCAAUGGCUGACACCCGGAGCUUGGUGUGGGUGGCGUGGAGAAGACGUCAAAAAUAAUCUACUAUAAAAUUAUCUCUUCCCUUAAUUAUACAAUAAAAUAUAAAAAUAUACAAUCUAUCAAAUAAAAUGUACCUGUAUUCUUGUCAAGUCAUUUUUGUUUCCUUCCAAUAUCUAAGACAAUGGUGUCUCUCUUGUGAUUACCGUAAUAUUUCCUUUUUACUUAUCACAAAUGAGAUCGUAGCUAUACAGAGGCCGUGCUAAUCAACUUAGUAGGUUGAUCCUCUUAUUAGUCAUACUAUCCUUCUAAUUUACUCAACAUAAUUGAC
rnacentral:lncRNA from 1 species